rnacentral:rRNA from 1 species
UGCCUUUUAAUUGGAGGCUGGUAUGAAUGGUUUGACGAGGGCUGAGCUGUCUCUUUUGGAAUAUUUAAAAAUUAACUUCUAGGUGAAAAGGCCUAGAUUGAGCUGAGGGACGAGAAGACCCUGUUGAGCUUUAGUGUUGAAUAAAGGUUUAUAUUUCCUAGUUUAAUUUAGAGGUUUAAGUUUAUUCUUACAUCUUUAGUUGGGGUGACUGGGGAACAAAAGUAGCUUCUCUACUUAUUACUGGGUUUGGCUUGCUAGCUAAUGAUCCGGCAUUGCUGAUUAUUGGAAAAAGUUACCACAGGGAUAACAGCGUAAUCUUUUUGGAGAGUUCAUAUUGAAAAAAGGGUUUGCGACCUCGAUGUUGGAUUAAGGUGUCCUAAGGGUGUAGCAGCUCUUGUUGGUUGGUCUGUUCGACCAUUAA